UCAAAUUUCUUAACUUUCUGAAUUUUUCUUUGUUAUCAGUCUUCCAUGGAUAUGUUGCUCCUGCAGUUGCCUUCUUCAUAAGAAAAUUGCAAAAUGUUGUUGUUCAUGUUGUUCAUCAUCAAACUCCAAAUGUUUUGGUAGCAGCUGCUUGAAGACUAAAUCCAUCUACACUUUCAAAAAUUGUUGCUAAGUUCUGAAGUUCUUGCACACAUAUCAUGUGUUUGAUGCUGUUUGUGCUGUUCUUUGUAAAGUUGAUGUGGAUCUAUGUUUUAAUUAUUUGAAUUAUUAAGUAUUGUUGUACAUUUUAUCAAUAAUAAAGUUGAUAUGAAUCUAAAGUAAAUAUCAUCA
rnacentral:lncRNA from 1 species